UAGAGAGAGACAUGCGCGCAUAUCAAUAAGCGGAGGAAAAGAAACUAACAAGGAUUCCCUUAGUAACGGCGAGUGAAGCGGGAAGAGCUCAAAUUUGAAAUCUUCAAGGUUUUACCUUGACGAAUUGUAGUUUAAAGAAGUGUUUUCUGCUGAAGUUUUGGUAAAAGUUCUUUGGAAUAGGACAUCAUAGAGGGUGAGAAUCCCGUAUUUGACCAUUAUUUUCAGCUUUGUGAUACACUUUCAAAGAGUCGGAUUGUUUGGGAAUGCAGUCCAAAAUGGGUGGUAAAUUUCAUCUAAAGCUAAAUAUUGGCGAGAGACCGAUAGCGAACAAGUACCGUGAGGGAAAGAUGAAAAGAACUUUGAAAAGAGAGUUAAACAGUACGUGAAAUUGUCAAAAGGGAAGCGUUUGACACCAGUGUUGUUUUCUCGAAAAUCAAUUAAAAAUGGCUCGAUUUUGUAUUGCUGAGACCUUAAAAGCUCACUGUACAUUUUUCGUGUCUUUUUUAAUGCACUUUUCGUUUAACAAGUCAACAUCAGUUUCUUUUGUUGUAAAAGGGUCAUUGGAAGGUGGCUUUCUUUUCGGAGAAAGUGUUUAUAGCCUUUGGCCUCUGCAAUCGGAAGAGACUGAGGUCUGCAGCGUAGACUCUUCGGGGUUAGAUACAUUUGUGCUAAGUUAUAGCUUUUUAUAGACAACUUGUUGACUAUAAUUAGUCUUGUAGCUUACUCGCUUAUGCUAUUUUACCUACGCUUAGGAUGUUGAAGAUGUAGCACAUCAU
rnacentral:rRNA from 1 species